rnacentral:rRNA from 1 species
AGCUCCAAUAGCGUAUAUUAAAGUUGUUGCAGUUAAAACGCUCGUAGUCGGAUUUCGGGGCGGUCUUGCCGGUCUGCCGUUGGGUAUGCACUGGUGCGAGCGUCCUUCCUUCCGGAGACGGUGCCUCCUCUUAACUGAGUGGGUAUCGGAGACGGAUCGUUUACUUUGAAAAAAUCAGAGUGUUUCAAGCAGGCAGCUCGCUUUUGCAUGGAUUAGCAUGGGAUAAUGAAAUAGGACUUUGGUGCUAUUUUGUUGGUUUCGAACACCGAAGUAAUGAUUAACAGGGACAGUCAGGGGCACUCGUAUUCCGCCGAGAGAGGUGAAAUUCUCAGACCAGCGGAAGACGCACCACUGCGAAAGCAUUUGCCAGGGAUGUUUUCACUGAUCAAGAACGAAAGUA